GACCCUGAGAUCAAAAGGGAGACUGACCCAGACAUUUGGUAAUAAGGCCCUAAGCCACAUUCAGAGACUCCUAUUACAGUGUCAUGCUUGUGAACUGAAUUCAUCAAUCAUUAUAGCAUCCAGGCUCUUGUAUGUGGGCCCAAUCAAAGGGCACCUUCUCUGCCGUUUAAGCAGGAUCCAGGUGGAGUGAUUCAUACUGUUCCCUGCUCUUCUCUUCAAAAAUUGUUAUAGAAGAAGAAAUCUUAUAGAAGCUCUGUGGAAAGCGAAAUCUUGUAUCUCUUAGUACUCUAUCCUCAGCAUCUAGAAGACUUGGCAAUCAUCUAUUGAAUAAAGGACUGAAUCACUGUCACGAGGAACCUGCUGCUGUGUUAUGAAGUGCUUUGCCAGGCUUACUAUACAAUCUUGCUGUUAAGACUCUUCCUCCCUGGGUACCUGGGUGGCUCAGUCAGUUAAGCACCUGCCUUCAGCUCAUGUCAUGAUCCCAGAGCCCUAGGAUUGACUCCCAUGUCAAUCUCCCUGCUCAGUGAGGACCCUGCUUCUCCUUC